CAGGGAGACAACAAAAUGUUUAAUAUUAUUAUUUUGUCACCUUAGGUCGAUCGGUAUCUCACGUUCUUAAUUUGUUAAGAAUUUCAUUUCCUAAGUUUUUCUAGGUCACACCCAUUAUUUUUCCUGGGCCAUUAGCUCAGGUGGUUAGAGCGCACCCCUGAUAAGGGUGAGGUCCCUGGUUCAAGUCCAGGAUGGCCCAUAUCUCUAUGUUGGGGGUAUAGCUCAGUUGGUAGAGCGCCUGCUUUGCAAGCAGGAUGUCAGCGGUCCGAGUCCGCUUACCUCCACUGAUUACCACCUCUUCCAUAACCGGUAUAAAGGAAAUGUUUUGAGUUGUGAUCACUAUUCUGAACGAAUCUAGCUUCCUAAUAAAACUAUUAAGAUGCUGGACUCAUUGAAUUAAUUUCAUUGUUUUCAGAGAACCUUGACAACUGCAUAGAUUAUUUUUAAAGACAAUAAGCAUCUUUAAUGAUGCAGAUUUAUUAUUUGUGCGAAUGCAUUAAUAACAAUUCUAUUAAGCUGAUGCUUCAAUUUUGAAGUUAUU
rnacentral:tRNA from 1 species